UACGUAGGUGGCGAGCGUUAUCCGGAAUUAUUGGGCGUAAAGAGCGCGCAGGCGGUUGAUUAAGUCUGAUGUGAAAGCCCACGGCUUAACCGUUGGAGGGUCAUUGGAAACUGGUCGACUUGAGUGCAGAAGAGGGAAGUGGAAUUCCAUGUGUAGCGGUGAAAUGCGUAGAGAUAUGGAGGAACACCAGUUGGCGAAGGCGGCUUCCUGGUCUGUAACUGACACUGAGGCGCGAAAAGCGUGGGGAGCAAACCAGGAUUAGAUA
rnacentral:rRNA from 1 species